CUAAAAUGAUUUGUAUUUAUCUUUAGAGCAGUUUAAUCACUGAACAGUAUUGAAUAUCCAAGAAAUGGAUAGUGAAGGUUGUUACUAAUGACAUGUAGGGGUGGCAGAAGUUAUUUUCAGUUACUUAGAUGCAGUGAAGUAUUGAAGCCAUAUGCUGAUGUACUAAAAGUCUUGCCACCACAGUAUGGGAGCUGAAAAGCAAACUUGAGUUUUUCCAUCCAAAGACUAUCCAAGACAAUGCUGGGCUGCAGUGUGGGUAUAGAAGGUAGACUUUAACGUGUGGCACCACUUCCUUCCAUCCUAGAUUUUUAGGUACUAGAUAACCACCAACAGUUCACCUUUAAAAUAAAAAUGAGGACUCUGUCCCGUACUUUAUAGUAUACCUAUAGACUUGGCUUUCAACUCUAUAAACUUCAGAUGGUGUAUGUGUAUUGCCAUUUCCUUUUCCAUUGAGACUGAACCGUUACUGUGGAUGGGUUAGGGUGGAUUUUGUGGUGGUUGUCAUUUGGUUGGUUGGGCCUGGGAUUUUUUUAUUUGCCUUUAAUUUACAAUACCAUUUAUUUUCUAACAGUUCUUCUGUUGGAAGUGCGCUGCCACGGAGGCGCUGCUGUGCAUAUAUCACCAUUGGAAUGAUAUGCAUCUUCAUUGGUGUUGGAUUAACUGUUGGUACACAAGAUUUUGCCAGGCGAUUUCACGCAACAUAUGUUUCUUGGGCUGUUGCUUAUCUCUUGGGUUUAAUCUGCCUCAUUCGAGCCUGCUACUGGGGAGCCAUUAAAGUCAGCUAUCCAGAGCACAGUUUUGCGUAGAGAAAUUGUUAGGUUAUAGAUGAACAUCUAUAUAGUAGUUCUGGAUAUUACAUCCUGGACGCUUUUAAAACCUUUCCGGUAAGGAUUCCAUUCUGUUCAAAGUAGUUUAAAGACUGGGGGUCUCUAAGAACAAAUGUUCAUUGCACUACAUAAUAUGCAAAUAGUUUGUUUUGCUGCUAGAUUCCCUAGCUCUGAAUACUAAAGCUGUGUUUACAUGUUCAUAACUCUGUCUUUAUAGAUGUUGAAUUUUAUUUCGACAGUAUUAAGUUUUACAUUUCCUUUGUUAUGUUAAAAUCCGUCUGCCAUUUUUCUAGUUGAUCAGUAAGAAUUCAAAAGCAAGAGUGUUUAUAAGUGUUUCUACAGUAGCUUCACAUUUGUACUUAACAUUUUAACUAAAAUUAUAUUCAAGUGGCUUGCUUUAAAACCUAAGCAAUAAGCAUUUUGCUUGAACUGCUUUACUGCAUCUUUUGCCUAAGAUCAUAGUGACCUUAUUCAGGAAAUGAAAGCUGUGAGUGUUUAAAAGACUGACACUGUUGCUAGAGAGACAUUUGUAAACACUGUAUGCUUGGAGAUUUUUCAGGUAGAGAGAUGCUAUUUUGGUAGUCCAACUAAAUUUCCAUUUAUCCAGGAUUGGAUUUCAGUUAGGAUAAAUGCUUUCUCCUCAAGGAUCCUGACACUGAGGUUUUGGUUUGUUUUGGUUGGGUUUGUUUUUGGUUUGGUUUUUUAACUGGCAAAUCCUAAAAGCCAUGCUCGGAUUGAGGAACUUAACUCUGGUUAUUCGUACAAGUUCCUUUACAGGGUCUAAGGGAAGCAUUUCAUAUGACUUGGUUUGUAAUACUUCAGUGUCAUGUAGAUGACAAUAAGAUGGUGAUGGGUUGCCUCUUACUUUCCUUUGAUCACAUCAGAUUUUCCCUGCUUGGGAGAGUUAUGACACUGGUCACUGCAAAGGGAGACACUGUAAAUUCUCAUUAACUGCUGUAAUAAGAAAAUGAGUAAACUAUUACUUGGACCAUUCCAUCAAAGUACAUCUAGUCAAUUUAGCACUGACUUGCCAAGAGAAUACGGAAACAGAAAGUUUUUUCUAAUGAUGUAUUCACAAAGGAUUGAGGGACCAGUUCUUGCACUGCCCAUCUUUAUAAUUUUAAACAAGUUUUUGCUAAAUUCAGAAGGAAUGUCCUGAGUGAUUUAGACAACUGUAGUAAUUUAGAUAAUGGGGUCAGAUGGGUAAAUUAAUAUGGAUGUUUCAGGGAUACAUGUAAUUUAAAUUAUCUAUGUUCCUGCUAAGUCAAAAUGAUAUUCGGAUAAGGAUUUUGGAGCACAAUAAAUGUAAAUGAUCAAACUGUAAAUGAUCUGUCUUUGUAUGACGCUAAAUGUAUAAAAGCAGUAGCUCAGGAUUACAAUGUACCUUUUACAAAUAAACUAAUAAAGAAAUAAAGAUUAUUAUUCAAACUUAAA